GACUACGCUGGCGGCGUGCCUAACACAUGCAAGUCGAACGAAGCAGCAAUGCUUAGUGGCAGACGGGUGAGUAACGCGUAGAUAAUGUGCCCUCUUGCGGGGGAUACCGUUUCGAAAGGAACGUUAAUACCGCAUAACACCUUCGGGUGGGCAUCCAUCGAGGGUCAAACUUCCGGGGCGGGAGGAGCAAUCUGCGUUCUAUCAGGUAGUUGGUGAGGUAACGGCUCACCAAGCCUACGACGGAUAACUGGUCUGAGAGGAUGAUCAGUCACACUGGAACUGAGACACGGUCCAGACUCCUACGGGAGGCAGCAGUGAGGAAUAUUGGGCAAUGGGCGAAAGCCUGACCCAGCCAUGCCGCGUGAAGGAAGACGGCCUUAUGGGUUGUAAACUUCUUUACUACGCGAAUAGAGGUUAGUACGAGAUACUAAUAGGAAGGUAGUGUAGUAAAAAGCACCGGCUAACUCCGUG
rnacentral:rRNA from 1 species